rnacentral:rRNA from 1 species
CCUACGGGAGGCAGCAGUGGGGAAUAUUGGACAAUGGGGGCAACCCUGAUCCAGCCAUGCCGCGUGUGUGAAGAAGGCCCUCGGGUUGUAAAGCACUUUCAGUGAGGAAGAACGCCUGGUGGUUAAUACCCAUCAGGAAAGACAUCACUCACAGAAGAAGCACCGGCUAACUCCGUGCCAGCAGCCGCGGUAAUACGGAGGGUGCGAGCGUUAAUCGGAAUUACUGGGCGUAAAGCGCGCGUAGGUGGCUUGAUAAGCCGGUUGUGAAAGCCCCGGGCUCAACCUGGGAACGGCAUCCGGAACUGUCAAGCUAGAGUGCAGGAGAGGACGGUAGAAUUCCCGGUGUAGCGGUGAAAUGCGUAGAGAUCGGGAGGAAUACCAGUGGCGAAGGCGGCCUUCUGGACUGACACUGACACUGAGGUGCGAAAGCGUGGGUAGCAAACAGGAUUAGAUACCCGUGUAGUC